rnacentral:rRNA from 1 species
GGGAGCUCUCCCAUAUGGUCGACCUGCAGGCGGCCGCGAAUUCACUAGUGAUUAGAGUUUGAUCAUGGCUCAGAACGAACGCUGGCGGCAGGCCUAACACAUGCAAGUCGAACGCCCGUAGCAAUACGGGAGUGGCGCACGGGUGAGUAACGCGUGGGGACCUGGCUGGUGGUACGGAAUAACCGCGGGAAACUGCGGCUAAUACCGUAUAUUCCCUUUGGGGGAAAGAUUUAUCGCCAUCAGAUGGGCCCGCGUCCGAUUAGCUAGUUGGUGAGGUAACGGCUCACCAAGGCGACGAUCCGUAGCUGGUCUGAGAGGAUGAUCAGCCACACUGGGACUGAGACACGGCCCAGACUCCUACGGGAGGCAGCAGUGGGGAAUAUUGGACAAUGGGCGCAAGCCUGAUCCAGCCAUGCCGCGUGAGUGAUGAAGGCCUUCGGGUUGUAAAGCUCUUUUGGCGGGGACGAUGAUGACGGUACCCGCAGAAUAAGCCCCGGCUAACUUCGUGCCAGCAGCCGCGGUAAUACGAAUCGAAUUCCCGCGGCCGCC